GCGCAUGUGUUCCGGCUAUCUAGUUUUCUGUGCGUCUGGCAUUCACCACGCACCAUGAAGUGGCUAUGAGCAGUGCGAACAGCAGGAGGAGGAGGCAUGUUGAUGUAAGUCUGGGUAAUUCCAGAGAAGCUGGGUAUUUCAAGCGCCGUUCUUACUCCUGCCCGAUGGAGCCGCUCAAGAGCCUGUCAUUGUGAAGGUCCGAGAUCUACGCACAGUGACACGUACAGGAUACGCGAGAGAAUGAGGGCUUUGUGUAGCGUGAGCAGCGAACUUGACCUGCAGCCCCAUGCCUUGCCGCUGGUCCUUCGGAGUAAAUUAAGAGUCCUCUUGCCUUUACAGACCGUUUUGGUUCACUAGCCUAGACCAGCGUAAAUCGCUGUCAAUAAUGACGCCAAGAUAACGGCAAACCUGACAUCUUGGGAUGGGAGUGCUGUUGAUGGAAAGAUUAGAGAAACCCUUGCCCACAUACUUUCGGCAGGGAAUGCAGACCAAGCAUUGAGACUUUGCUGGAUAUACAACUAGCUCCCUUUCAAGAAGAGCCGCACUGAGCCCGUUCAGUGCAAUUUCGGCGGUGUCACGAAGCUGCUUCUUGUUCUCCCCCACAACGCGGAGGCAGAUAUCGUCCCCGUAGAUGGUAAGCUGAAGGGUAUACGGAGAUGGGCGAAUCCUGCGGUGGACUCAGGCCAUGAUCAGGUUGAAUAGAGUGGGCGAAAGAACACUGCCCUGUGGGACCGCACGUUCGAACUCUUUCUUGGAGCUCAUGCGCCCAUUGACACACAUAUCAAACGUACGGGCGGAGAGAAAGUCCAAGAGGUAUCUCAGCAAGGC